GUGGGAAGGUCACAUGACUGGCAGAGAAGACGGCAGCCUGAAAGCGCCAAUCUCAUGAGCGUCUGAGCGGUAUUGGUGGGUGAGACGAGGUGUAGAAUAUCUGUCCCUGUGGGCCUCCGUCUCUUGGACCUCUGCCGAUCCGUUCAGGUUUAAGGCUCUAAACUGGGAUUUUCCUAUCGGUGAUUUGCGCCUGGGAGACACUGGCGCUAGAUGUCGCUGGCUGUCCCAUGGCUGAUUCGCUUUGAGCCCUUUGUUUCCCUAGAUUUUGAUGUUUGAUUUUCAGCCUAUAAAGAGGUUGACUUUUUUUUUUGAAAAUGUGAAAAUGUGUUUUUAAUAUCAUCCGCUUUGUAUAUUUAUAUGAAAACACGUAAAGUUGUUUACAGUAUUCCUUUUUAAAUAGUGCUUUCUGUUUAUUUACUUUAAAUUAACUCCAUUGGUCAUUUUUCAAAUGGUUAAUUUAGAUUGACGUGGAGGUUUUUAUGUUUUGUUUUGUUUAAUGGAAAGCUAACAGCACUUAAGGUCAUUGUAGACCUGGGUACUGAUUAGUGUUUUGCAGACCUAUUUAUCCACGCCAGUGGUUCCAAGAACUAGGAUUCAACACAGUUCCUCAAAAAUCCUGUGAUUGUUGCCAGUGUGCAAUUUUGCUUCCACUUUAAAACUUUUAAUCUUUUAAGGUCAAUUUUAUUUUGAUUUAAAAUAGCUUAAAAUUGUUUGAUUAAUUAAUUUCAAAAUAACUGUUGGACUUUUUUUUUAAACUUCCCCUAAUACACAACUCCCUCUCCUCUUAACCACUAUUUCAUCUUAGAACUACUGGACCUCAGAAUUUUGUUUCAGGUUUACCCACCUUUGUUUCUCAGUGCUAUACCCUAGCUCAGUCUUCUGUGUUUGUUGUAGAAACCUCUUUAGUAGAACAUCACACAAAAUGGGUCUCGGUCUGUUUUCCAUGUAUUAUAAAUUAUUUGGAAUUUACUUAUUUGGUCUUCUUCUUCAUUCCAAAAAUUAUUCUAGAAAAAUAUUUAAAAUAUAAUGGAGAAACAGAAGCAGGGAAAAUCCAAAAACAUGAAAUUCCUGAUAUGUUAUUCAGUAUUGACUUUCAACUCUUGUUUUUAUACCCUAUAAUUUUCCUUCAUAGAAUAUUUAGAAGUAUAUAAUUUGCUGUAUUAAUUUUCUAACUUUUGAAGUAAUAAAUUUAUGUUGAUAAAACAUCAAAUUAUACCUAGACAAAAGUUACAUAAUUAAUGACUGUCAUCUACCUUCUGACUCCUGCAGUUUGUAACCACCAAUAUCCAUACUUUGAUGGCUCUUUUUUCAGACUAUGCUUGUAAGACACAUAUAUGUGUAUCUCUCUGUUUUCACAUGUACAACUAUAUAGAGACCAUAUAAUAUAAUUUUCAGCUACAUAUACUGAGUCAUAGUAUUGUCACACAUUAUUAUUAGUGUUUUUUUUUAUUUUGUUAGAAUGUUAUUACUCAGAUAAAAAGUACAUGUAUAUAUUACCACUAUACCCACUGCACAGCUCAGGACACCAACGAUGAGGUAGGUAGUGUAACUGGUGAAAGGUUACAUAAGUAUUAAGUGAUGUAAUCAGAACACUGUCACCUUUGUUCUCUCUACACCAUUAUCCUCACCACUGUAUAAGCAUAAACAUUCCAUUGUCCUAUUGUCAUGUACUGUGGAUGUGUUAACACUAGACUUGUUACUUAUCUCAAGUAUUUAUUGUAUUCCAUUGCCAUAUGUUGCUUACCCAAUCAUCCAUUACUAUUUGAUAGGUAUACACAGUAUUUACUUUGUUUCUAUUUUGGGUUUUUGUUUGUUUUUGUUUUAUUUUAUUUGUUUGCUUUUUUGUCGAAAGAAACAGUAUUGGAGUACACAUAACCUUUACAUUUAUCUACAUUACAGGUCCACUAUGUAUGGAAUUAUAUAUGGAAUUAUAUAUGAUGUAUUUGUGGAUAUAUUUGUAUGUUUGUAUAUAUUUGUAGACUUUUAACUGCUAGGCCAAAGUGUGUGCAUCUCUUCAAUCUUACUACAUAAUGACAAAUCACUAUCCAAAUUAUAUUAUUUCCUAUUAUAAUAUGCAUAUUUCUGUAGAGUUAUGCUAUAUGUUACAUGAGAAAUAUUUUGCAUCUUAAUUACAAAUUAGAGUAUAUAAUUCUUUAUUUUGUUUUAACAGCUAUUUCAAUACUGCCUAUUGCCUUUAUCUAAACCCUUUGAACUGCUUCAAUAAAGUUUGGGAGUGACAUGAUUUGUUAACUGAUCAAAAAGUGACAAUAAACCAGAAAAGAACAAAGAGAAAGCAGAGCACAAGGUGCUACGAGAACCACUACGAGACUUUCCAGAAGGCUUUUGUGUAGGAGUUUGGUAUGAGAAAUAUGAGGCACAUCCAGGUUAAGAAACUUAACUAAGCCACACAGAAAAUGGCAGAAUUGGGAAAUCAGCACAGGCAGCCAGAUUCCACAAAUAUUAACUCUCAAUAUGAAAACCCACUUCCAACAGCACUUUUGGCCUCUACAACUUGGAUCUGUAUUGUAACCACCAUUAGACCCUCCUCAGACAUGACAACUGGACUUCUCAGCUGCAUAGAGACCUUUGUAUCAUCUUCAAACUUCUUGUUCCUAUGGUGGUAAGUCCAAGUCCUGAUCUAAUGCUCUGGACAAAUGUCUGUUGAAGCGUGAUGAGGAAUAAUUUUGUUUCUUACAAUUUUGAGUACAUACUGGAACUAAGUUAGACAACCUCCCCACUCGCCCCAGACUUCUAAUGAAAAGAAUCUGCUUGAAUGGAUGUCCCUGAUGGCUUCUUGUUUUGAGUAGGGCUCAUACCCUGACUCC